UACGGAGGGUGCAAGCGUUAAUCGGAAUUACUGGGCGUAAAGCGCACGCAGGCGGCUUGUUAAGUCGGAUGUGCAAGCCCCGGGCUCCACCUGGGAAUUGCAUUCGAUACUGGCAAGCUAGAGUAUGUGAGAGGGGAGUAGAAUUCCAAGUGUAGCGGUGAAAUACGUAGAGAGUUGGAGGAAGACCAGUGGCGAAGGCGGCCCCCGGGCACACUACUGACGCUCAGGUGCGAAAGCGUGGGGAGCAAACAGG
rnacentral:rRNA from 1 species